rnacentral:lncRNA from 1 species
CUAACUAGUGAAGUGAGGAAAGGGUUGAGUGCAACUCGGCUUCCUUGGAAGCACCUAAUGGAGAUGUAGGAUUCGCCUGGUGGUGAAUCUGAAUUUCGGUGAAACAAAUCGUUGUGCCUCCUCGCUGGUUUGCAUACAUUUGGCUUGCACUUCUACUUCAUUGUUGAUCUCAUUACAUUGGUUGAUCAACUCAGGUUUUAGUGUUUGUGAAGUGCAGGAACUUUGUGUUUCUACUAAGUUACAUCAUCUGAGCGCAUUCUCUAAGACUGGUUUGAUCUUUACCUCUCUUGCUCGACAUAAGGUUUAGGGGGUUGUCUCUACCAGUGGCAAAACCGGAGGUUCUGGUUUUCAGGCAGUCAGAUUUUCUUCCGCUAUUUAAGGCAUGUAUUUCCUAUAUUUGGAAAAUUCUAGAGAGUUCUUUGGAGAUUCCGUAAGUUCUAGAAAUCUCCGAAGAUAUUUUCGGAAUAUUCCGAAAGUCAUUGAUAAAUUUGUUUUAAGUGGCAACGUUUUCAGGUUACACCUAUUCACCCCCUCUAGGCGACAUCAAGAUCCUUUCAAUCUAUUAUUGU